UUAAAGAAUUGGUUAAUGAAGCGCAAGCCAUCGAAAUGUCACUUGAGGAACUUCAAGAUAUUUUAACGUUCAUUUAUGAGGAGGAAUCAUCAUGAAUGCCAUAGAAUUAAGUAAUGUUAAUUAUUCAAGUGAUCAGUUUAAUUUAAAGAAUAUCUCUUUCAAAGUUCCUCAAGGAUUCGUCACUGGUUUUAUUGGUAGAAAUGGCGCUGGUAAAA
rnacentral:sRNA from 1 species